rnacentral:rRNA from 1 species
UACGUAGGGGGCAAGCGUUGUCCGGAUUUAUUGGGCGUAAAGAGCGUGUAGGCGGCUUGGCAAGUCCGCUGUGAAAGUCGGGGGCUCAACCCUCGAAUGCCGGUGGAUACUGUCGGGCUAGAGUGCGGAAGAGGCGAGUGGAAUUCCUGGUGUAGCGGUGGAAUGCGUAGAGAUCGGGAAGAACAUCGGUGGCGAAGGCGGUCUGCUGGGCCGUUGCUGGACGCUGAGGCGCGACAGCGUGGGGAGCAAACAGG